AUUGAACGCUGGCGGCAGGCCUAACACAUGCAAGUCGAGCGGAUGAAGGGAGCUUGCUCCUGGAUUCAGCGGCGGACGGGUGAGCAAUGCCUAGGAAUCUGCCUGGUAGUGGGGGAUAACGUCCGGAAACGGGCGCUAAUACCGCAUACGUCCUGAGGGAGAAAGUGGGGGAUCUUCGGACCUCACGCUAUCAGAUGAGCCUAGGUCGGAUUAGCUAGUUGGUGGGGUAAAGGCCUACCAAGGCGACGAUCCGUAACUGGUCUGAGAGGAUGAUCAGUCACACUGGAACUGAGACACGGUCCAGACUCCUACGGGAGGCAGCAGUGGGGAAUAUUGGACAAUGGGCGAAAGCCUGAUCCAGCCAUGCCGCGUGUGUGAAGAAGGUCUUCGGGUUGUAAAGCACUUUAAGUUGGGAGGAAGGGCAGUAAGUUAAUACCUUGCUGUUUUGACGUUACCAACAGAAUAAGCACCGGCUAACUUCGUG
rnacentral:rRNA from 1 species